UGAGGGAUGGGGGGAGCGGCCGAACCCACCGGACUCAUAAUCCGGCCCGUGUUACGCGGAUCGCCAGUUCGAAUCUGGCUCCCUCAA
rnacentral:tRNA from 1 species